rnacentral:rRNA from 1 species
AUGGAUUUACACCCACAGGUGAUUUGCUGGAAUGCUCGAGGCUUGAACAAUCCAGCCAAACGCAAGGCGGUGCGGGAAUUCGUGAGUACUCUUGAGGUCAACUUAGCUUGCUUGCAAGAAAUGAAAUUGGAUGUAAUAGACAACUAUCUAGUUAUGCAAUGUUUGGGACCAUCGUUUGAUGGUUUUGCUUACUUGCCGGCUAUAGAAACUAGAGGGGGUGUGCUUCUUGCAUGGAAGAGCUCGGACUUGGAGGUGGAGGCCAUACAAAUCGAUACUAACUUCCUGACUGGUCGGGUGCGCACUAAGACAGGUGAUCCUUGGUGGAUCUCAGUUGUUUACGGACCGCAAAGCGACGAGCAAAAGUGCAACUUCUUGGAGGAGCUUAGGUUAAGGAGUUCGGUCUGCCCGGGAGCAUGGCUUCUCCUUGGAGACUUCAACGUGAUCCUCCGAGCCUCGGAAAAGAGUAACACCAAUCUUAACAGGAGCAUGAUGAACACAUUCAGAGAGUUCGUGGAUGAUCAUCAAUUGCUUGAGAUGUACAUGCACGGGAGAAAAUACACUUGGUCUAAUGAGAGGGACUUGCCCACCCUCGCCAAGAUUGAUAGAGUCCUCAUGACAGUGGAUUGGGAGCUGGACAAUGCGGAUCACCUUCUGCAAGCACUGUCCACAGGAGUCCCUGAUGAUGCGCCGUUGCACCUCACCACGAGCGCGGGCUUUUGCCCUAAAAAAGGUUCAGAUUUGAGCUUUUCUGGACGAGAUUGGAGGGCUUUGAGGAAGCGGUGA